UACGUAGGUGGCGAGCGUUGUCCGGAUUUACUGGGCGUAAAGAGCGCGCAGGCGGCUGGUCAAGUCCGAUGUGAAAGCUCCCGGCUUAACUGGGAAAUUGCAUCGGAAACUGAUCGGCUGGAAGGUGGGAGAGGGUAGCGGAAUUCCCGGUGUAGUGGUGAAAUGCGUAGAUAUUGGGAGGAACACCAGUGGCGAAGGCGGCUCACUGGACUGGUACUGACGCUGAGGCGCGAAAGCGUGGAGAGCAAACAGG
rnacentral:rRNA from 1 species